UGGCUGUACAUAGAGGGGUGGAGAACCGUCUCACUGGGUUGAGUUGGUGAGAGAGUGUAGUAUUAACCUCUAUGUCAGAAUUCUUCCACAUCUCACUGGAUGAAUGUUAUCAGAUGUACCGCAAGCUGGGGUCAGAUGUAUCCAAGCAGAACACCAUAGUGGAAGCAGCGAAAAUAAGCUGGAGCCAUGCCUUUCAUGAGAGCCAUCCUUGGGAAACAAUACUGAAAAACCCAUCAUGGAACAGGAGAGCCCAGUGAUUCAAGAAAAAGCUAGCUGAUGUGAACAUGGCAUAACCAGUCAACAAAGCUUUGUCAGUGGCAACACAACUAUCAAAACAGAAUUCAGAAGAUACGCAGGUCCUGGGAACUGUGAGCAAUGGCAAGGAAUAUCUUUGAUCAAAUAAAAU